ACCAGACUCCUACGGGAGGCAGCAGUGGGGAAUAUUGGGCAAUGGGCGCAAGCCUGACCCAGCAACGCCGCGUGAAGGAAGAAGGCUUUCGGGUUGUAAACUUCUUUUCUCAGGGACGAAGCAAGUGACGGUACCUGAGGAAUAAGCCACGGCUAACUACGUGCCAGCAGCCGCGGUAAUACGUAGGUGGCAAGCGUUAUCCGGAUUUAUUGGGUUUAAAGGGUGCGCAGGCGGAGGCACAAGUCAGCGGUAAAAUCGCGGGGCUCAACCCCGCUCCGCCGUUGAAACUGUGUCCCUUGAGUGCGCGAAGGGUAGGCGGAAUGCGUGGUGUAGCGGUGAAAUGCAUAGAUAUCACGCAGAACCCCGAUUGCGAAGGCAGCCUUCCGGCGCCCUACUGACGCUGAGGCACGAAAGUGCGGGGAUCGAACAGGAUUAGAUACCCCAGUA
rnacentral:rRNA from 1 species